AUGGGACGCGUUUUAUUUCAACGUGCCCCGCUACCAUUUUGUCAGCGCAGAGACACGCGGCGACACUGACACGUGGUGUGCGAGGCUGUUAAUUUCUGUGUUCCAGCAGACUCGUUUAAUCGAGUCUUAAUUCACUCCAUUAAUUGAGUGUGCUUCAAUGCACUGGAUUUUCAGCAUGCCAGAGCAAGCUCCCCGCAUGCGAGUAGGAGCCCACUGGUACCUUCAUACCAAUUUAGUUCUUAACCUUUCUGAGGCUUGCACCAAAACAGUGCAAUGUCUGUGAACGUCCAUUCUUCUAACCAUUUCUCUCUCUCAGUGUAUUUUUUUUUUUUUUUUAUUUACUUUCUUCAUUACCAGAAGAUACCCAAAGCUUAGCCUUACGGUAAGGCAUACAGCACUGGACAUACCACCUCCAUGUUGAACUCUUGCCUUCUGUUUCAAUUCAUGUUGCCACUAGGUUUUACAGAAAACGUGAUUCCUGGGACAACACAAAACAUCAGUGAGAGCUAACAGGUCAGCUCCAAUUUGGGGGGAGGGAGGUUCCUCCUAAUAAAAUCCUUUGGAGGCAGAAUAAUUUCUUAAUUUCUGAAAACGUUUCAUUUGCCCAGAAAUGGAAGUUGGCAGUGCUUUGGUAAAUGGAUUGAAAGGUUGUUUUGUUUCACUGAAGCAACUGUAAAUACUUCUGUGUCUCGUUGAAAUGCUGUCUGUUCGUUUUUCCCCAGUCUUAUGGCCGCAGUCUAUGAAUGACGACUGCUAUUGCUUUGUCUCCUAAAACGUCACUGAAGCAUGGCUGCAAUUUUCUUUUCAUUUUUCCAAGUAGGGGAAAGAGCAGCUCACUCCCAAAUGCUUAAUCAUUAACAACAGGUCGUACACUCAGUGGUCUUAGAAAGGUAAAAAUAGGAAUAAUUUCCUCCUCGUGUUGAACUCAGACUCUGCCAUGUACUCCCAAGGACCCACGUUUAUCCUGGGAGCUGGGCUUAGCAAGACUUCACCGUGUUCCUGUGCAGACUGUGUUCUGAAAGUCUGCUUGAGACUAUUGACUCAUCGACACCACCCCCACAUCCUUUGGUUGUGUUCUCCUGGAGGUCUUAAAGAUCAGUAGGGAUGAUUGUGACGAUCCAGGCUGACUUUGGCAUAACGCAGGCUACAAAACAUCGCCCAGCAAUUUCUGCAUCAAGCCCAUGAUUGUUUGUGCUACAGCAUCCCUUCUGGAAAGACCCUCUGCCUUGCUCUAUAGACUUCAAGUGAUGGAGCAUCCCUCGCGUUCCCGGAAGGCUGUGUCUGCACGAAUGAAAUGUGUGUUCGUCUAAGAGCAAAGAGAUGAAAUGCCUCCACCGGCUGGACUCGGACACAGUGAGCCAGAGCCAAAAAAAAGGACAAAGUCUCCUAUACAAUGAUUUAGGCAGGAGCCCAAAGCUGUGAUCCUCCUUGUUUCACUGCUCCUAAAUAUGGUGGCAACUGCGCUCUACAGGCAGUUUUUGCUGUUCAAGUUUCCCACGUACCUCAACUUCUCAACAGGCCCGAACAAUGCCUUGUGCUGGCAGAUCUUUGCUGCUUGCCUAGCUCAUGACUAAGUCCAACUGGGCUCCAGUUUGCAGACAUUGCCCGAGGGGCUGGAUCUAGGGGAGGUUCUUGGAGCAUGCUGUGGGAUGGGGGUCCGCAAAGUGCAGCAGACGACACCGCUUUCUUUUAAAAUGCAGGUAGAUGGAGGGUGUUCCCCUUGUAUAGCUCCAGCAGGAUUGGUUCAGAUUUACUUUCCCCCAGACUGUCCAGUAGCCUAAAGAUUGCAGCACCCGCCAGCAGUUGUGAGAUAAAAUGCAGAGACUGGGACUUGGGACUCUUCACUCCCAGCUGAGUGCCCCAAGCCCCAAGCCAAAGUGUUGUAGGCUCACUUUUGCUCCCUGUCCACAAUGCAUCUUCGGCUUUUGGGGGCAUAAUGAUACAGAGGGUAUCUUUAACCAGACUCACUUGUACCCUGGUGGGAGCAGCUAAUGGCCUGUUUGUCUUGAGAAAACAGCUACUUCAGGAUAGCUGCAGGCAGACACCACUUGCACCAAUGUAAUAAGUAUAUAAGGGGUGUACAUCAGGAUGUGGGGGAAGAAGGCCUGUUCACCAGAGCGCCCCAUGGGGUGACAAGGUCAAACGGUCACAAACUUCUCCAAGACUGUUUCAGGCUGGACAUAAGGAAGAACUUCUUUACGGUCCAAGUCUAUAAGGCCUGGAACAGACUGCAGCCGGAGGUGGUGCAAGCACCUACUCUGGACUCCUUUAAGAGUAAAUUGGACGUUUAUCUUACUGGGAUCCUUUGACCCCUGCUGACUUCCUGCCCCUGGAGCAGGGGGUUGGACUCAAUGAUCUCCUUCCAGCCCUAAUGUCUAUGAAAUUAUUAAUUUAUAUUAGUAUAGUUCUAGUUCUAAUUUCCCCUUGGGGUAAAUUUACAUUGGAUUCAAGUAAGCUGCAGUGAUAUAGGACUGUACAUGUGUCCACUCCUUGCUUACACUGGUGUGAAGGCUAAUUAUACUGGUGUUUAAUGUGUCUAAGCCUUUUGGUUAAUCAUGCUUUAUCCUCAUCUCCCCCCGCCCCGCAUCACCUCAUCGUGGUUCAUUGUUGGACUAUCAGAAGUGUUUAUGAAUCUA